rnacentral:lncRNA from 1 species
GGUCCAAAAGUUUUCGGCAACCUUACAUCUUUAAGAUGUAUUGAUUUGGGUAAUAACUUAAUAACUAUCAUUGUCGAGACAUCAUUUCCGACAUGUUUAUUGAAAAAAUUAGAAAAAAUAAGUUUAGCCUUCAAUCGCUUUUCCUGUAUUUGUGAGCAAAUGUGGUUUUUGAAUUGGCUGCGUCAGACGAAUAUCAGCGUUGUAAGUUAUCCCGAGAAAUACUAUUGUACCCAGCCAAGUAACCUUAAUCAUGUGUUACUUAAAUAUUACAAACCUACUGUUGCAUCGUGUACUCCUUGGGAUCAUCCAGUUUCUUUGUUAUAAAACUUGUAAAUUUUCAUUUAAGCAGCCAUAUAAUGGUUUACUUUUAUAAAUUGUCACUUGGAUUGUGAGUUGUCUCAUUGGCACUCAUAUCACAUCUUCCAAUAUCUAUAUAAAUCAAUCUGCAAGACAUUAAACAUUGCAAAUGAUAUAAAUAGAAGAAGACGUGGAACUAUAUACGCAGAAAAGAUAAUAACGUAGCAAAUUAAAAGUCAUUUUAAGUUUAACAGACACCUACGCUUUAAGCAGAAAUUAUUGUUUCGUUGUAUGCUGCUGCUGAUUUGGAUCAAUCUCUAUGCAAUUUACCUGGGUAACGAUUAGGAAAACGUUUUGUGUUCUUUCCUUUUUGCCUUUCCUUGAUUUCAGCCUCAAUUUAAAAAUAUUGGUUAAAAGAAAAGUACACGUUAAUUUCAGCUUUU